AUUGAACGCUGGCGGCAUGCUUUACACAUGCAAGUCGGACGGCAGCACAGAGAAGCUUGCUUCUUGGGUGGCGAGUGGCGAACGGGUGAGUAACAUAUCGGAACGUACCGAGCAGUGGGGGAUAACUAAUCGAAGGAUUAGCUAAUACCGCAUAUCUUCUGAGGAAGAAAGCAGGGGACCAUUUGGCCUUGCGCUGUUUGAGCGGCCGAUAUCUGAUUAGCUAGUUGGUGGGGUAAAGGCCUACCAAGGCGACGAUCAGUAGCGGGUCUGAGAGGAUGAUCCGCCACACUGGGACUGAGACACGGCCCAGACUCCUACGGGAGGCAGCAGUGGGGAAUUUUGGACAAUGGGCGCAAGCCUGAUCCAGCCAUGCCGCGUGUCUGAAGAAGGCCUUCGGGUUGUAAAGGACUUUUGUCAGGGAAGAAAAGGGCGGGGUUAAUACCCCUGUCUGAUGACGGUACCUGAAGAAUAAGCACCGGCUAACUACGUG
rnacentral:rRNA from 1 species